AAUAAGCGGAGGAAAAGAAACCCACCAGGGAUUGCCUCAGUAACGGCGAGUGAAGCGGCAAAAGCUCAAAUUUGAAAUCCCCCCGGGGAGUUGUAAUUUGAAGAUUGCGUCUUGGAGGCGACCGUUGUCUAUGUUCCUUGGUAACAGGACGUCACAGAGGGUGAGAAUCCCGUGCGGCACGGCCCCCGGCUCCUUAUAAGGCGCUCUCGACGAGUCGAGCUUGUUUGGGAAUGCAGCUCAAAGUGGGUGGUAAAUUCCAUCUAAAGCUANAUACAGGCGAGAGACCGAUAGCGAACAAGUACAGUGAUGGAAAGAUGAAAAAGCACUUUGAAAAGAGAGUGAAACAGCACGUGAAAUUGUUGAAAGGGAAGGGCAUGCCGUCAGAUUGUCAGUGUGGGUAAGAAGCGGGGUACAAAGACUGUGGAACGUGGCCCUCGGGUGUUAUAGCCGCAGUUCAUGCCCCGUCUCUUUCC
rnacentral:rRNA from 1 species